GAUGAACGCUAGCUACAGGCUUAACACAUGCAAGUCGAGGGGAAACGAUAUUGGAAGCUUGCUUCUGAUAGGCGUCGACCGGCGCACGGGUGAGUAACGCGUAUCCAACCUGCCCAUCACUUGGGGAUAACCUUGUGAAAGUAAGACUAAUACCCAAUGACGUCUCUAGAAGACAUCUGAAAGAGAUUAAAGAUUUAUCGGUGAUGGAUGGGGAUGCGUCUGAUUAGCUUGUUGGCGGGGUAACGGCCCACCAAGGCGACGAUCAGUAGGGGUUCUGAGAGGAAGGUCCCCCACAUUGGAACUGAGACACGGUCCAAACUCCUACGGGAGGCAGCAGUGAGGAAUAUUGGUCAAUGGACGAGAGUCUGAACCAGCCAAGUAGCGUGCAGGAAGACGGCCCUAUGGGUUGUAAACUGCUUUUAUAAGGGAAUAAAGUGAGUCUCGUGAGACUUUUUGCAUGUACCUUAUGAAUAAGGACCGGCUAAUUCCGUGCCAGCAGCCG
rnacentral:rRNA from 1 species